CGAAGAUCGCGUCUGUGGUGCUGAUCUCAUCCUUGUUCCAUGGCCCCAUGAGCUCCUUGUACAGAUGCCGGAGGGCGGGGGCCAUGCCCUUGUCUGCACCGGGACAGAGAGGAGAGGACAUGUGAGGCUUAUGCUGAAUUGAGGGUUCCCAGCCGAGCCCACUUCCCCCACAAGGGGCUCCACUCUGAUGGAUGGGGGCUACCGUGCUUUCCCAGGGCUCUCUGGAGGGAGAUUUCAUUCCAGGAUGAAAUCUCUUUUCUGUAUCUCCUUCCUUUCUUCAAAAGUCUCAGAUCCCAACCCUUUCUUUGGGCUAGAAUAUUUUUCUCUGUUCUUAAAUUAUGAACCCUAAAUAUUUUCUUCCUGUUUUUUUUUUUUUUUUUUUUUUGAGUUGGAGUUUUGCUCUUGUCUCCCAGGCUGGAGUGCAAUGGCGCGAUGUCAGCUUACUGCAACCUCUGCCUCCUGGAUGAACCCUAAAUAUUUUCUUUCUUCUUCUUUUUCUUUUUUUUUUUUUUUCAGACAGGGCUUCCCUUUGUUGCCCAGGCUGAAGUGCAGUGGUACAAUCAUAGCUCACUGCAGCCUCCAGCUCCUGGGCUCAAGCCAUCCUCCCACCUCAGCCUCCUGAGUAGUUGGGACUACAGGUAUGUGUCACCACAUCUGGCUAAUUUGUAAAUUUUUUUGUAGAGGCAGGGGUCUCCCUGUUGCUCAGUCUUGUCUCGAACUUCUGGCCUCAAGUGAUCCUCCUGCCUCAAUCUUCCAAAGUGCUGAAAUUACAGUCAUAAGCCACCUUGCCUGGCCUUAGUUUUUUUUUUCUUUUCCUUUCUUUCUUUGUUUCUUUGUUUCUUUCUUUCUUUCUCUCUCUCUCUUUCUUUCUUUCUUCUUCUUUCUUUCUCUCUCUUCUCUCUCUCUCUCUCUUUCUUUUCUUUUUUUUGACAGGUCUCACUCUGUCACCCAGGCUGGAGUGCAAUGGUGUGAUCUCAGCUCACUGCCACCUCCACCUCCCGGGUUAAAGUGAUUCUUGUGUCUCAGCUUCCUGAGUAGCUGGGAUUACAGGUGCACCACCUCAUCAGACUAAUUUUUAUAUUUUUAUUAGAGACGGGGUUUCACCGUAUUGCCCAGGCUGGCCUUGAACUCCUAGCCUUGGGUGAUCCUCCUGCCUCAAACUCCGAAAGUGCUGAGAUUACAGGCAUGAGGCACUGUGCCUGGCCUUAGAUUUUUUUCCUAUAGUGAUGGCUAUGCUAAGUAUUUCACAAGUGUAAUUCCAUGAAUUCUUUUAUUUUUUUUUUUUGAGACGGAGUCUCUCUCUGUCGCCCAGGCUGGAGUGCAGUGGCACGAUCUCAGCUCACUGCAAGCUCUGCCUCCUGGGUUCAUGCCAUUCUCCUGCCUCAGCCUCCCGAGUAGCUGGGACUACAGGCGCCUGCCACCACGCCUGGCUAAUUUUUUUUGUAUUUUUAGUAGAGAUGGAGUUUCACUGUGUUAGCCAGGAUGGUCUUGAUCUCCUGACCUCAUGAUCCGCCCGCCUUGGCCUCCCAAAGUGCUGGGAUUACAGGCGUUUGAGCCACCGCGCCCGGCUCAUGAAUUCUUUAGGACAGCAAAUAAUCCUCAUUUUGUAGAUGGGCAAACUUAACGAGGUUAAGAUCACACGGUGGUGAAUAAGCGGUAAAUCUACUGGUCAGACACCCUUGGAGAUUCAAGGGUCCAGUGACUUGGAGUGUAGUGGGAAGAAGAUGGGGUGGCCCCUGCAGCACAGCUGUAUGGGGCUUGGCUCGGCUAAGCCAGAGCCAGCCUUUCCUUGGCUUCUGGUAGGUCUGUUCUGCAUGCCACCCACCUCCCCUGGUGUCCCGUGGCUCACCAUCAAUCUUGAAUCCCAUAGCUGCUUGAAUCUGCUGCUGGGUUUCUCCUCCUGUUGUCAGCUGGAGCAUGGCCAACACCGAGGCCACCCCAUAGGGUGAGAAAACCACGUUGCGGUCCUUGGAGGGCUGGAGACAUCUGCAUCCUAGAGCAAUGGAAAGAGGGCUGGUGAAGGAAUCGUUCUGGAAGACAGGCGGGAGGGGAGGGGAGCUGGCCAGCUGUGGGCCCUGCUCUUCUUGUUUCCUGCAAGCAGGUGGUAAGUGAACACUAGGGCAAGGUGCAGGAAGAGACCAUGACAUGUUCAGGUUCUAAGCCCAUCCCACUCCGUCUCACUCAGACUGACUUAUCCCCGGGCAGUGGCAGGGAGUCUUCGCCCAUCUUGCCCUGUGGGAAUCUUGGAAUCCAGUCCAUCUCCCUUCCCUCUGUGUCCCGUAAAAAAGCCUUAGAAGAAAAGCAGGUGAGAAGUCAUUACCACUCUCUGCCUUUGCAGCCCAGGGGGAAUUUAGCCCAGACUCAAUUAUCAAUUAUCACAACAUCUUUGAUUUGCAUAAGCUUUAAAUUUGCUUUCUUUUCUUUUCUUUCUUUUCUUUCUUUCUUCCUCUUUCCUCUUUCUUUCUUUCUUUCUUCUUUACUUCCUUCCUUCUUUCCUCUCUCUCUUUCUCUCUCUUUCUUCCUUCCUUUCAUUCAUUUUUAGAGACAGGGUCUUGCUCUGUCACCCAGGCUGGGUGCAAUGGCUCAGUCUUGGCUCCCUGCAGCCUCCGCCUCCCCAGCUGAAGCAAUCCUCCCACCUCAGCCUCCCAAGUAGCUGGGAAUACAGGCACACCAGCACGCCCAGCUAAUUUUUGUAUUUUUUUGGGAGAGCAGGGUUUUGCCAUGUUGCCCAGGCUGGUCUCAAACUCCUGGGCUCAAGUUAUCUGCCUGCCUCAGCCUCACAAAGUGCUGGGAUUACAGGCAUGAGCCACAGUGCCCAGCCUUAAUUCUCUUAAUGCUUUCCCAGCGAUUGUUUCAUUCAAGUUAGCAGGCAUGAGGUGGGAAAUGGGUAAGUGUCUUGAUGCAGAGGGACUGAGAGAGUCAAGGUUCUUGUUACUGGGUGAUGGGGUUGUUGGUGACGCCUGACCAUCCUCCCUGCUCUCCUGCAGUCACCCCUAGGGCAGGGUCGACCCAAGGCUGCAGGUCCGAGGAAAAGAAAAUAGAGGAAUAGCGGGGGAUCAUGGAGGGAGGAGAUUCUGGGGAGGCGAGUUCUCUGCCUUAAGCCCGAAGUAAGAGGUUGGAGGGAGUUUGCUUUUCUCCUACCUGAAGUUCUCAGAGGUGCCUUGCGAUUGGCGGUUCGUCCUGCUCUGGCGGCGGC
rnacentral:lncRNA from 1 species